GCCAGCGGUCCGUGGGCGUGACGUCUGAAGCUGAGACUACAUCUCAACCAGUGUACAAACCCACUUUCCUGGAAUCACCAAACCAGAAGCGCCUGCUAUCAGCGCUGCAUCGGUAGAUCUUUAUAAACGCGUUUCAUUUGUCCAGUUCUUUCAGGUUUAGCGUAAGAGCUCCACUGACUGCGUUUACUGGCACUGUCCGAGCACCAUCAGAACAACAUUAUGGUUGAACUGGAUCCUAUCAUCAUUGGCACAGUCAUAGGAGGGGUUUUGAUCAUUGUUGUCACUCUUGCCAUCACCUUCUGCUGUGUCUUUAAAAAUAAAUCACUUCCAGUUCCUCCGAUACCUCUAGUGUAACCGCUGCCUUUCAUACAGCAGUAGACCACGCCUUAUUGGAUGCAGAAUGAAAUUAAUGAAUUACUUAUUUUUGUAUAUCUUAUUUUAUAGAUUGUGAUCUGUUUGAUUAUAAUGCUCUGUACAGCACUUUGGUCAACCUUGGGCUGUUUGUAAAUGUGCUUAUAAAAAUAACCAAUGAAUGAAUGAAUGAUUAUACAAGACCAGCGGAUGUGUUUUAGUCCAUUAUAUUGUCUGUUUUAUUUUCAGUUUGUCCUUUCAGUUUGGUUUUUGUUCAGUGACAGUACUUUAUUUAGUGUUUUAAUUUUCAGUUUUGUUUAUGUUUUUUCCAUUAUAUUUAAUGGAAUCCAUUAUAAAUAUUUUAUACAUAUAUAUAUUUGAUAUACCUUGGAACUAAAUGAAUAUAUUUAUUUACUACGGUAUUGAUAGGUUAGUCCAAAACACUAGACAUGGACUACUUUAACCUUGCAUUCAAGAGUAUGAACUAGAUGUUAUGUUUACUGUGAAAGAAACUAGUCCGGUUUGUGACAUAAAUAAUUUCUUUUACCCCUAUUAGCCUCUGUGCUCCCACAUUAUUAAAGUAUUACCAAUGUAAAACUCACUGAAAUUUUCUAGAUAUGAAGUUGUUGUUUUUUCCUACUCAAGUGUAAGGGAACCUCCUUAAAGUUAAAUGAUAAUUUUUGUUAAUUCAAUACCUUUUCAAAAGUCAUUCAUAUAAUGACUGACGAUAUCAAUCCUGUGCUGUGGUUUUUACAGUCGAAAAGCACUGAGCUUGAGUUGAGAUGCAGAUCAAAUUAACUUGUAACAACCUAUUUUUAUUGGGAAAAAUGUUCAUAUUCUACUCUUAUUAAAUGUACCUUUGAUCUUCAAUAGUUUCAUACAGAACUGACCGACAGCUUCAGUGGUUAUAAAAGGAGCACCCUUUACUUGCUUUCUGUGUAAUUCAGUUUUUGUUUUUGAUGAGACUUUAUGACUUUUCCUACUUCAUACUUGUCAAAAAUUGAUUUAUUUUUUAAUAGAGAUUUCAUAAUAUCUAAAUAUAAAUCUAAAAAAAGUCAAAUGUGUGGGGGGAAAAAACUAUAUUAGGGAGUUGAAAUGGUUAAUAAGCUAAUUAAUGCUCUCUGCUGCCAUCUGCUGGUUAUAGUGGUCAUUUCAUGUCUUUUUUAUUUUUAAAUAAAAACACUUGUUUCCCA